GACGAACGCUGGCGGCGUGCUUAACACAUGCAAGUCGAACGGAAAGGCCCUGCUUUUGUGGGGUGCUCGAGUGGCGAACGGGUGAGUAACACGUGAGUAACCUGCCCUUGACUUUGGGAUAACUUCAGGAAACUGGGGCUCAUACCGGAUAGGAGCUCCUGCUGCUUGGUGGGGGUUGGAUAGUUUCGGCGGUUGGGGAUGGACUCGCGGCUUAUCAGCUUGUUGGUGGGGUAGUGGCUUACCAAGGCUUUGACGGGUAGCCGGCCUGAGAGGGUGACCGGCCACAUUGGGACUGAGAUGCGGCCCAGACUCCUACGGGAGGCAGCAGUGGGGAAUAUUGCACAAUGGGCGGAAGCCUGAUGCAGCAACGCCGCGUGCGGGAUGACGGCCUUCGGGUUGUAAACCGCUUUCGCCUGUGACGAAGCGUGAGUGACGGUAAUGGGUAAAGAAGCACCGGCUAACUACGUG
rnacentral:rRNA from 1 species